rnacentral:piRNA from 1 species
UGGCAAUACAAGGAAGAACGUGGUACCCUGU